rnacentral:tRNA from 1 species
UGGGGUGCAGUUCAUUGGUAGAACACAUUCUUUGCAUGUGUGAGGCUCUGGGUUCAAUUCCUAGCACCCCCU